rnacentral:rRNA from 1 species
GACGAACGCUGGCGGCGUGCCUAACACAUGCAAGUCAACUUGACUGAAGGAGCAAUCUGACAGUAGAGUGGCGCAAGGGUGCGUAACGCGUAAGUAACUUGCCCAAGGUAAGGAAUAACGUCGAGAAAUCGGCGCUAAUACCUCAUAAUGCAGCGGAUUCCGCAUGGAUAUGUUGUUAAAGGUUUACCGCCUUGGGAUAGGCUUGCGUCUGAUUAGCUAGUUGGUGUGGUAACGGCACACCAAGGCUACGAUCAGUAACUGGUCUGAGAGGAUGAUCAGUCACACUGGAACUGAGACACGGUCCAGACUCCUACGGGAGGCAGCAGUGAGGAAUAUUGGGCAAUGCUCGAAAGAGUGACUCAGCAACGCCGCGUGGAGGAUGAAGGUAUUCUAUAUCGUAAACUCCUGUGAGAGCAGACGAAAGACAGAUUAUAAUCUGGAUGACUGUAUGCUCAGAGGAAGCCCC